rnacentral:rRNA from 1 species
GGCGGACAGUUUUUUAAAAACGUAGGGCUUCGUCAGGCCCAUGUUUCCAUCUGAUGUCCCUAACGGUGACCAGUAUGGUUGUUUACUAACUAUUCACGUCAGCCGUAAAUAUGACGGUUUUAAUGUAGCAAAAUUCCUUGUCUAGUGGUUUUAGACCGGCAUGAAUCCUGGA